rnacentral:rRNA from 1 species
AUUGAACGCUGGCGGCAGGCCUAACACAUGCAAGUCGAACGAGGGGCGGACGGGUGAGUAAUGGCUGGGAAACUGCCUGAGGGAGGGGGAUAACUACUGGCAACGGUAGCUAAUACCGAAUACAAUCGGAUGUGACCAGAUGGGAUUAGAUAGUAGGUGGGGUAAAGGCUCACCUAGGCGACGAUCCCUAGCUGGUCUGAGAGGAUGACCAGCCACACUGGAACUGAGACACGGUCCAGACUCCUACGGGAGGCAGCAGUGGGGAAUAUGGCACAAUGGGCGCAAGCCUGAUGCAGCCAUGCCGCGUGUAUGAAGAAGGCCUUCGGGUUGUAAAGUACUUUCAGCGGGGAGGCGUUACCCGCAGAAGAAGCACCGGCUAACUCCGUGCCAGCAGCCGCGGUAAUUC